GUAGAAUUGUUGUUGCUGUGCCCUUUCUCUAAAGCGGGGUGCCAAACUGCACGUUGAAGAAUCUGGCUAAAUGCCUGAGAUGAAGGGAUAAUGUUUCCAUCAUACUUGGUAUGCUCUAUUCAGAGGAAGCGAGAAUGCGGGCACAACUUGUAUUUAUAUCCGUAGCUAUGUUGGGAGUGCAGAAGCAUGAAAAUAAGUUUCAACCACGAUGAGGAUCUGCCUCAAGGACGAAUGCUCCAAAUUCUGCCUUGAUUUCCAUUCCCUGAAACCAUCUUUGGCAGUCAAGAGCAGCAUUUAGAUUAUGCUUUCACUGAAGAACUAGUUAAAUAUUAAAUGCAAAGGAGUGAUGCAAUAAAAUACUCCUUGGAGUAGACCCACAAACCCAGACUUCCUCCUAAAUCUGUGUUAUUCGAGCAUCCAGGAAAUGCAGUUUGCUCUAUCAGUGAUGCCUUGGACCAACAGAAGAUUCAUAAUAAGGUGUAUUGAACACCUCAUGUAAUAGAAGAAUUUGUCAUAAGACAGUUUUUGCAUGGGUAGGAUCAAACAUAUUCUUGCAAAGAUAUUCAGAGAUGUCUUAGCGUGGGGGCUUGCUGACUGGGGAGUAGCUCUGCAGAAAAAGAUCUUGGAGUCCUCGUCAACAACAAGCCGACCAUGAGCCAGUAAUGCACCCUCACAUCAAAGAAGGUCAACAGCAUCCUGAGCUCCAUUAGAAACCACUGAGAAGAGGAUCAAGCAGUGUAACAGGUUUCCCAGAGAGGCCUCCGUCCUUGAACAUAUUCAAAACACAGCUGGAGAGGAUCCUGGACCACCUACUGUAGAUCACCCUGCUUGAGCAGGGAGCUUGGACUAGAUUAUCUCAAGAGGUCCCUCUCCAGCCUCAAUGAUUCUGUCAUCCCUGAUCAUAGUCAUCAGAAAUGGUUUGUGAAAAGCAUCAAAUACUUUUGUGAAAAGCAUUUGAAAAUCAUAGCACUGUGAAAAGAUACAUAACCAACGUAGUAACUAUACGCACUAUGCUAUUAUACAAGCAAAAUAGUUGUAAAAAUUAUAUGUAUAUCCAAAAAUUUUACCUUGGAUAAACAGAAUAUCAAUGUAUUGAGAUCACAACAUAGAUUGAGUGAAGAAAAAAUGGAACAAGAUUAGUUUUAGUGCAUUUGUGAAAAAAAAAAAAGAUGGUGCACAGCAGGAAUGGCUGGAGGUAAUGUCACAUACAUAAAAUGAAAGCAAUUUAAGCCUUGUUUGCUUAUUGUACACAAGCAGGCAUAUCUAGCUAACUCUGAAGCAGUGGGAAUAUUUUGUGAGGUGCUAAGUAAUAUGUAGGUAUGUUGUGAACUAAGAUGAGCACUAAAAACAGUUAAUGAAUUCAUACCCUUGAUUUAGGAAUGACAGAUCUACUCGCAUAC